ACCCGCUCUGCUUCGCCCUGCAGCUGGCUCCCCUGGGCAGCCUCAACAUUGUGCUGGAGGACAGACAUAAAGGCUCCAGGUACAUGCCUCUGGGUCACAUGCUCACCUUCAAGGCAGCCUAUCAGAUUGCAGCAGGGCUGGCCUACCUGCACAGGAAGAACAUCAUCUUCUGUGACCUCAAGUCAGACAACAUCCUGGUGUGGUCCCUGGAGGUGUGUGACCCGGUGAAUAUCAAGCUGUCAGACUACG